GAUGAAGAACGUAGCGAAAUGCGAUAAGUAAUGUGAAUUGCAGAAUUCAGUGAAUCAUCGAAUCUUUGAACGCACAUUGCGCCCGCCAGUAUUCUGGCGGGCAUGCCUGUUCGAGCGUCAUUUCAACCAUCAAGCCCCCGGCUUGUGUUGGGGACCUGCGGCUGCCGCAGGCCCUGAAAAGCAGUGGCGGGCUCGCUGUCACACCGAGCGUAGUAGCAUACAUCUCGUUCUGGGCGUGCUGCGGGUUCCGGCCGUUAAACCACCUUCAUAACCCAAGGUUGACCUCGGAUCAGGUAGGAAGACCCGCUGAACUUAAGCAUAUCAAUAAGCGGAGGA
rnacentral:misc_RNA from 1 species